UUAAAUUGAAGAGUUUGAUCAUGGCUCAGAUUGAACGCUGGCGGCAGGCCUAACACAUGCAAGUCGAACGGUAACAGGAAGUAGCUUGCUGCUUCGCUGACGAGUGGCGGACGGGUGAGUAAUGUCUGGGAAACUGCCUGAUGGAGGG
rnacentral:rRNA from 1 species